rnacentral:rRNA from 1 species
GCUGGCGGCAUGCUUUACACAUGCAAGUCGAGCGGCAGCGCGGGGGCAACCCUGGCGGCGAGCGGCGAACGGGUGAGGAAUGCAUCGGAACGUGUCCCGUAGAGGGGGAUAGCUCGGCGAAAGCCGGAUUAAUACCGCAUAUGCUCUACGGAGGAAAGCGGGGGAUCCGUAAGGACCUCGCGCUAUGGGAGCGGCCGAUGUCCGAUUAGCUUGUUGGUGAGGUAAAGGCUUACCAAGGCGACGAUCGGUAGCUGGUCUGAGAGGAUGAUCAGCCACACUGGGACUGAGACACGGCCCAGACUCCUACGGGAGGCAGCAGUGGGGAAUUUUGGACAAUGGGGGAAACCCUGAUCCAGCCAUGCCGCGUGAGUGAAGAAGGCCUUCGGGUUGUAAAGCUCUUUUGGUCGGGAAGAAAGGGUUUCCUUGAAUACGGGAGACUUUUGACGGUACCGGCAGAAUAAGCACCGGCUAACUACGUGCCAGCAGCCGCGGUAAUACGUAGGGUGCGAGCGUUAAUCGGAAUUACUGGGCGUAAAGAGUGCGUAGGCGGUUCGUUAUGUCUGCUGUGAAAGCCCCGGGCUUAACCCGGGAAUGGCGGUGGGA